rnacentral:misc_RNA from 1 species
CGCGACCUGUGUUACAGCACA